rnacentral:rRNA from 1 species
GGACGUGCUAAUCUGCGAUAAGCGUCGGUAAGGUGAUAUGAACCGUUAUAACCGGCGAUUUCCGAAUGGGGAAACCCAGUGUGUUUCGACACACUAUCAUUAACUGAAUCCAUAGGUUAAUGAGGCGAACCGGGGGAACUGAAACAUCUAAGUACCCCGAGGAAAAGAAAUCAACCGAGAUUCCCCCAGUAGCGGCGAGCGAACGGGGAGCAGCCCAGAGCCUGAAUCAGUAUGUGUGUUAGUGGAAGCGUCUGGAAAGGCGCGCGAUACAGGGUGACAGCCCCGUACACAAAAAUGCACAUGCUGUGAGCUCGAUGAGUAGGGCGGGACACGUGGUAUCCUGUCUGAAUAUGGGGGGACCAUCCUCCAAGGCUAAAUACUCCUGACUGACCGAUAGUGAACCAGUACCGUGAGGGAAAGGCGAAAAGAACCCCGGCGAGGGGAGUGAAAAAGAACCUGAAACCGUGUACGUACAAGCAGUGGGAGCUCGCUUAGGCGUGUGACUGCGUACCUUUUGUAUAAUGGGUCAGCGACUUAUAUUCUGUAGCAAGGUUAACCGAAUAGGGGAGCCGAAGGGAAACCGAGUCUUAACUGGGCGUUAAGUUGCAGGGUAUAGACCCGAAACCCGGUGAUCUAGCCAUGGGCAGGUUGAAGGUUGGGUAACACUAACUGGAGGACCGAACCGACUAAUGUUGAAAAAUUAGCGGAUGACUUGUGGCUGGGGGUGAAAGGCCAAUCAAACCGGGAGAUAGCUGGUUCUCCCCGAAAGCUAUUUAGGUAGCGCCUCGUGAAUUCAUCUCCGGGGGUAGAGCACUGUUUCGGCAAGGGGGUCAUCCCGACUUACCAACCCGAUGCAAACUGCGAAUACCGGAGAAUGUUAUCACGGGAGACACACGGCGGGUGCUAACGUCCGUCGUGAAGAGGGAAACAACCCAGACCGCCAGCUAAGGUCCCAAAGUCAUGGUUAAGUGGGAAACGAUGUGGGAAGGCCCAGACAGCCAGGAUGUUGGCUUAGAAGCAGCCAUCAUUUAAAGAAAGCGUAAUAGCUCACUGGUCGAGUCGGCCUGCGCGGAAGAUGUAACGGGGCUAAACCAUGCACCGAAGCUGCGGCAGCGACGCUUAUGCGUUGUUGGGUAGGGGAGCGUUCUGUAAGCCUGCGAAGGUGUGCUGUGAGGCAUGCUGGAGGUAUCAGAAGUGCGAAUGCUGACAUAAGUAACGAUAAAGCGGGUGAAAAGCCCGCUCGCCGGAAGACCAAGGGUUCCUGUCCAACGUUAAUCGGGGCAGGGUGAGUCGACCCCUAAGGCGAGGCCGAAAGGCGUAGUCGAUGGGAAACAGGUUAAUAUUCCUGUACUUGGUGUUACUGCGAAGGGGGGACGGAGAAGGCUAUGUUGGCCGGGCGACGGUUGUCCCGGUUUAAGCGUGUAGGCUGGUUUUCCAGGCAAAUCCGGAAAAUCAAGGCUGAGGCGUGAUGACGAGGCACUACGGUGCUGAAGCAACAAAUGCCCUGCUUCCAGGAAAAGCCUCUAAGCAUCAGGUAACAUCAAAUCGUACCCCAAACCGACACAGGUGGUCAGGUAGAGAAUACCAAGGCGCUUGAGAGAACUCGGGUGAAGGAACUAGGCAAAAUGGUGCCGUAACUUCGGGAGAAGGCACGCUGAUAUGUAGGUGAAGUCCCUCGCGGAUGGAGCUGAAAUCAGUCGAAGAUACCAGCUGGCUGCAACUGUUUAUUAAAAACACAGCACUGUGCAAACACGAAAGUGGACGUAUACGGUGUGACGCCUGCCCGGUGCCGGAAGGUUAAUUGAUGGGGUUAGCGCAAGCGAAGCUCUUGAUCGAAGCCCCGGUAAACGGCGGCCGUAACUAUAACGGUCCUAAGGUAGCGAAAUUCCUUGUCGGGUAAGUUCCGACC